AUGAUAAAAAAUGCCCAGAAAAAUAAGCUAAUCACGGGAUUAGCCUCUGAUCUGAUUCAGGAUGGGGUCGCAGUGUUGCAGUAUGCAGAUGAUACUAUCAUCUGUUUAGAGCAUGAUAUUGAAAAAGCAGUUAACCUGAAGUUGCUGCUUUAUACCUUUGAAAUGAUGUCCGGACUCAAGGUGAACUUUCAAAAAAGUGAAAUCCUCACAGUGGGUGGAGAUGACAAUGUGGUUAGGGAAUAUGCUGAAUUAUUUAACUGUGACAUAGGGAGUUUCCCUAUUAAGUACUUGGGGAUGCCUGUGAGCUACACCAAUCUCCGAAAUUCUGACUGGGAAUUUAUUAUAGCCAAAUAUCUUAAAAGAUUUGAAGCUUGGAUCGGCAAUGCUGCAUCCAUGGGUGGCAGACUUACUCUGCUUGACUCGGUGCUUACUCAAUUGUCCAUCUUUCAUAUGUCUAUGUGGCUUAUGAACAAAACUUUCAUUGAAAAGCUGGAUAAGCAUAGACGUAGAUUUUUCUGGCAAGGAUGUAAUAAUAAGCGUAGAUAUCAUAUUGUCAGGUGGAAUAGGAUCUGUAGAUCCAGAGACAAAGGAGGACUGGGGGUUAAAGACCUUAGAAAACAAAAUAUUAGUUUAAUGGUCAAAUGGUGGUGGAAGCUGGAGACCCAAAACGGGUUGUGGCAGGAUAUUGUGCGUGCUAGAUACCUUAGAAACAAAACUGUUAGUGAGGUGGGUACGAGGUUUUCUGAUUCACCAUGCUGGAAAGCUCUUCUGAAGGUGAAAGAAGUUUACCUGGUGGGGAGGAAAAUUAACAUUGAAUCUGGUAAUAUUGCCCGGGUGUGGAUGGAUCCCAUCAAAGGGCUGCCCCCCUUUCGGGAGCAAUUCCCACAACUCUUUUCUAUUUGCACUGCUCCUGAAUGCACGAUGAGUGGGGUGCGGCUAGUGGAUACUAACACUUUCUUCAGACGGGGGCUUAGUGCUGAACUGUCU
rnacentral:rRNA from 1 species